AGAGUUUGAUCCUGGUUCAGAACGAACGCUGGCGGAGUGCUUAAUACAUGCAAGUCGAGCGAGAAAGCGCCUUUCGGGGCGUUAGUAGAGCGGCGAACGGGUGAGUAACACGUAAGUAAUCUGGCUCUAAAUUUGGGAUAACCUUGCUAACGCGGGGCUAAUACCGGAUGUGGCUUUUAAAUCGCAUGAUUAAAAGGUUAAAGGUGACCUCUUCUUGAAAGUUACUGUUUAGAGAUGAACUUGCGGUCCAUUAGUUAGUUGGUGGGGUAACGGCCUACCAAGACCGUGAUGGAUAGCCGACCUGAGAGGGUGAUCGGCCACAUUGGGACUGAGAUACGGCCCAGCAGUAGGGAAUUUUGCGCAAUGGACGGAAGUCUGACGCAGCAACUCCGCGUGAGGGAUGAAUGUCUUCGGAUUGUAAACCUCUGUUGAGUGAGAAGAAAACUUUAUGUGCUAAUACCACAUAGACUUGACGGUAUCACUUUAGAAAGCACCGGCUAACUACGUGCCAGCAGCCGCGGUAGUACGUAGGGUGCUAGCGUUGUUCGGAAUCACUGGGCGUAAAGGGAGCGUAGGCGGGAAGAUAAGUUAGGAGUGAAAUGUACGGGCUUAACCCGUGAUCUGCUUUUAAUACUGUUUUUCUUGAGUAUGGGAGAGGAAGGUAGAAUUCCAGGUGUAGCGGUGGAAUGCGUAGAUAUCUGGAAGAAUACCAGUUGCGAAGGCGGCCUUCUGGCCCAAUACUGACGCUGAUGCUCGAAAGCUAGGGGAGCGAACAGGAUUAGAUACCCUGGUAGUCCUAGCCGUAAACGAUGGACACUAGAUGUCGGGACUGUUAUGGUUUCGGUGUCGCAGCUAACGCAUUAAGUGUCCCGCCUGGGGAGUACGCUCGCAAGGGUGAAACUCAAAGGAAUUGACGGGGGCCCGCACAAGCGGUGGAGUAUGUGCUUUAAUUCGAUACAACGCGAAGAACCUUACCUGGUCUUGACAUGGGGAUGAAAGCCUUUAGAGAUAGAGGCCCUCUCUUCGGAGACAUUCUACACAGGUGCUGCAUGGUUGUCGUCAGCUCGUGUCGUGAGAUGUUGGGUUAAGUCCCGCAACGAGCGCAACCCCUGUCCUUAGUUGCCAUCAGGUAAAGCUGGGAACUCUAAGGAGACUGCCUGGAUCAACCAGGAGGAAGGUGGGGAUGACGUCAAAUCAUCAUGGCCCUUACGACCAGGGCUAGACACGUACUACAAUGGACGGUACAAAGGGAUGCUAAACUGUGAAGUCACGCUAAUCCCAAAAAAACCGUUCUCAGUUCGGAUUGGAGUCUGCAAUUCGACUCCAUGAAGUUGGAAUCGCUAGUAAUCGCGGAUCAGCAUGCCGCGGUGAAUACGUUCCCGGGCCUUGUACACACCGCCCGUCAAGCCAUGAAAGAUGGUAGUACCCGAAGUCGUUACUCUAACCCGUUUAGGGGAGAAUAUGCCGAAGGUAAGACCGUUGAUUGGGGCUAAGUCGUAACAAGGUA
rnacentral:rRNA from 1 species